rnacentral:rRNA from 1 species
AUACGGAGGAUGCAAGCGUUAUCCGGAUUUAUUGGGUUUAAAGGGUGCGUAGGCGGUUUGCUAAGCGGGAGGUGAAAUGCCGGCGCUCAACGUCGGAAGUGCCUCCCGAACUGGUGGACUGGAAUGACUCUGCCGUGGGAGGAAUGUGUAGUGUAGCGGUGAAAUGCAUAGAGAUCACACAGAACACCGAUUGCGAAGGCAUCUCACGAAGGGGUGAUUGACGCUGAGGCACGAAAGCGUGGGGAUCAAACAGGAUUAGAUACCCUGGUAGUCCACGCAGUAAACGAUGAUAACUAACCGCUGGGUCGUAGUGAUUCAGUGGCCAAGCGAAAGCGAUAAGUUAUCCACCUGGGGAGUACGACCGCAAGGUUGAAACUCAAAUGAAUUGACGGGGG